CUCCUGGAGCCUCUAGAAGGAACCAGCCCUGCCAGCACUUUGAUUUUAAUCGUCUGAGACUCCAUUUGGAAUUCUGACCUCUAGAACUCAAAUAGAAAAACAAACUUCUCUAAACUGAUGACGUGGGGCGCUAUCAUGGAUUAGGAGGAGCCUUUCACCCUGAUUGCCUACUACUGUUAAAAAACUAAAACAGGUGUUCUUGGCUGAUGGAUUCCAAUAUUCAAAUAAUAUAUUUUAACCUCCUCUUGCAAGUUUGAUUGUACCAGUAACAACUGAGGGCAUAUUAAUGGGAAGUGAGGUGUAAUGGAUUCUCUCUCCAUCUUCUCCGGGUAGCAUCCAUCUCCUCCCUGCAAAGUGACAAGCCAGAGGGCCAACAGAGCUGAUGAUUUAGGCCCAGGACUUAAUUGUAGAAGUGGAAGAGGCUUCAAGGGAGGCUGAAUUUUCAGUGUUGGUAAUGAAAUGAACAAGUGGAGUGAAAUGAUAUGACCUGAUGCUUCAGUAUCAGGGCAGUAGGGAGAAUACUACUUGGGCGAAGGUCAUCACUUAGCUCCCUGAGAUGCACAGCAGGAUAGGGUUGCUGUAUUCCAUGACAGCUAGCACGGUGCCUUUUGUGGAGUGGGUAGUCAACACUGGUUCUUCCUAUCUAAUACAGAGAAAUGUUCAGGAGUAACAUUGGUCUCAACUGAAUCAAUGUGUUUGAUCAUUUAUGAUUGGGACAUAUUUCAUUUUAUGCCAAGAAUGCAG
rnacentral:lncRNA from 10 species